rnacentral:rRNA from 13 species
UGAACAUGGGUAGACCACUAUCCAAGCCUAAGUACUUGCACGACCGAUAGCGAACAAGUACCGUGAGGGAAAGGUGAAAAGCACCCCGACGAGGGGAGUGAAACAGUACCUGAAACCGAACGCCUACAAUCAGUUGGAGGGCCCUUGCGGCCUGACAGCGUACCUUUUGUAUAAUGGGUCAUCGACUUGGUCUCACGAGCAAGCUUAAACCGUUAGGUGUAGGCGCAGCGAAAGCGAGUCUUAAUAGGGCGAAUGAGUUCGUGGGAUCAGACCCGAAACCGAGUGAUCUAGGCAUGGCCAGG